rnacentral:rRNA from 1 species
AUACGGAGGGUGCAAGCGUUACUCGGAAUCACUGGGCGUAAAGCGCGCGCAGGCGGCCAUUUAAGUUGGAUGUGAAAGCCUACGGCUCAACCGUAGAACUGCAUCCAAAACUAUUUGGCUAGAGUGAGGGAGAGGAAGACGGAAUUAGUUGUGUAGGGGUAAAAUCCGUAGAGAUAACUAGGAAUACCAAAAGCGAAGGCAAUCUUCUGGAACACUACUGACGCUGAGGCGCGAAAGCGUGGGGAGCAAACGGGAUUAGAAACCCCAGUAGUCC